CACUGUUAAGGUUCAGUCUCAUCACCCAUGCUGCUUAACAUCUGUAUGAAGCUGUUGCAGGCUGUUAACAGAUGGUUUGGGGGAGGGUGUCUUUAAUAUGCUGAUGACACCAAGCUCUACCUCUCUGUACCAUUGAUUUAAAUAGUAAAUAAAAUAGUAUAUGAUGCAGGAAAUUUGUGGAACCAUCCUGUAAUAGUUGAAUUUCUGUCGUAUGAAAUUCAUAUUCAGCAGUGAUUUUCAUCAAACAGAUAGUUGGACAAGAUGACUCAGAAGACUCUCUCAAACUGUAAUUUUACUUUACCAUCAGUGGAAUUGUUUGCUGACUGGCUGAGGACCUGCUGUGCUUUCACUUGCUUCAAAGGAUUCUGGGGGCACCUUAUAAAAUGUGUUAUAGUCACAGUGAUGUCUAGGCUUACUGGAACAGGGUGUUGGCCUGACUAAACUGAAAAUACUCCCUCCCCAGUUUUGCAUUUGUGGCUGCAUAUCCAUUGUCUAUAGUACAAUCUUAAGACUGUUACAACAGCACAUAACUGCUCAGGGCAGAGUAUAUUUAUCAACAUGUAUGCAAUAUAGCACCACAAGCUUUGGUUUUGUGCCAGUGUUGCAGUAGCACUAUGCCAGCGCAAAUAUUUAGCAGAAGGUGUCACAACUGUUGUUUUCCAGAACUUUGCCUAGUGAAAUUGCGGUCUCACAACUGGAGAGUCUCCAUGUGACUCUAAUAUAAACACGAUAUGCAUGACUAAUGUAUAUGCACAUUUGCUUUUAAAUACCAGAGUAGUUAACAUGUUUUCCCCCCAUGCCUCACGUGCAUUUGCAGUGCAAGCAAUUAUUUCUGUUGUGUUUCAUUUUAGGACAAAAAAAACCACCCUACACCACCAGUUCAAACUUUCUAGCGUACAACAAAACCAAGUUGCCCUCUAAAUUGUUAGUGCAGUUUUUCUCACAUGCACAAUAAAAAAAAUCUGCUGUAGCAGCAGCUGUCUGGUUUUGUGGAUGUAAGCGUACGUUGCAGAAUGUGCUUUUGUUUAAGGUUUAAAUGGCUUUUGCAGUCAAGUGUUGUAAUCCAUUAGUGAUAAGUAAAGGUAUUUGUCUAUCGGUUGCGGUUAACUGAAUUCCUGCAUUAGCAACAAUUUAGUCUCUAACGUAAAACGGGCACAGGAAAUUGUUUAGAGGGAGUCUGGCUGCAGAGAUGGAAAAUUGGAGGAACUGGGAUUCCCCUCCCCCCAUCAGUAAUGGGAUGUAUAACGGAAUGGUGACAUCUAACAUCUUAGCCUUUGGAAGUAUCUUGCACAGAGCAACAGUGCAAGCUUUUUUUCUUUUAGAGAAUCAGAAGUUAUAAGCAAUCAAUCUGGAUAAGUAAACUAAAGAUCCAUGGUUUUAUAAGUCUUGAGUGGCUGAUUUUAGAGAAUAGUUUUCUUUCUAGUAUUCUCCUUUCUUUCUCUUCUAAAAUCUUGCCAAACAGCACAGAGAAACUUACAUUCUUUUAAGGCAGCACAGAGAAAAUUACAUUCUUUAAGGUGCACUUCCAGAUUUUCUGAGCAUUGGAUAAAUUCAGAUAGAACAAAUAUUUCCAUUCAAAACUGUUUCCAUAAUGAAAAUACAACUAUUAAUGCAACCAUCUGGCACUGUGACGUGUUUCAAACCGUACAGAUAGGAUGCUGGAAGUCCCAGUUGGACAUUCUCUGCUUCGACAGCUGAUUUUCUAGAGAACCUUUGCAGGAAAAAGUAGCUCUUUAUUAUUCCCUUUCCCAUCUCAGCCCUUUCUCAUAUUGCUGUCCAUUCUCCCAGCAUGUGGUAGUGAGUUUCAGAGUUCAGCAGUGAUUAUUGUAGCUGUUGAAUGCAGUACUACUUGACUUUUUGAAAAGCAUGUACAUGUUUAUGACAAAUUAGUUUCCGUUCACAAUUCUUUGGAAACCAUUGUAUGAUUCUGAGUUUCAAAGAAUUGCUGCUGGUAGUGGAUAGUAACAGGGCUGGUCCAAGGCAUGUUGCUGCCUGAAGCAAAGGGAGAUAAAUUGUCUCUUCCCAGUUGCAUUCCAGGUACAAAAGCUCAGCAGACCGUUCAAUCUUAUUUCAACAUCCUCCACUGCACCCCAGCAGCAGUGACAGUGACUUAGUUUAGUGGGUGAUGGACAGGUUGCAUAGCACACACACAGAGAUCCCUCCACUUAUUGCCCUUCAAUAUUUGCCACCUGAGGCACCUGCCUAACACUGCCUCAUGGUAGGGCCGGCCCUGGAUAGUAAGAUAUAUGAUCACCCAUCAGCCAUUCUUUUAAACUUGGGAUUAUAGAGUUGAAACCAAGAAACAGGGAACGAAAGGAAAGUAGCCACCAGUGUAACUCCAUCAAUGCUUGCAGGAGAGUUCAAGUAGUGUUAUAUAAGGGCAAUAGCCUAAAGCAGUUCUCAACCUUAAGGAAGUGGAGGAGCAUAUUUGGAUUUAGCACAAGAUGUAAACCAGCUCUACCUUCUGCAAUUGUAGCCUUUCCAUAAAUGGAAGUUUUUCAGCACUUAUCCCCAUUUUUAUUGUCUUUUCUUUGUAUCUUUCUCUAGCUUUGUUGACUCUACUUUGAAAGUUGAGACUAGAACUGUCAAAAGCCUACUAUUAGAUGGGUCAGAGGCAAAUGGAAAAGCACAUGUGUUGCCUGCAGAAGGUUCAAUCCCUGGCAUCUCUUGGGUUGUUCUUUUUUUUAGGGAUGAGGUUUUCUUUUUUUGAAAGGAAACAGAAAGAAUGUGGUGAGGAAAAUCUAUCUGCCUGAGACCCCAGAGAGCUGCUUGAAGUCAGGGUGGACAACACAGGCUAGAUACACAAAUCGUCUGAUUUGCUUUCACCUUGGAUAUAAUGAUUCUGUAAUGAUUCCUCAGCAUGGGAAUCGUACCUGGGGGAGGUCUAGUUGCAGAGUCUAUAAUAGAUUUAAAAGUAAACCAAAGAAGGCAGAACCCAGGAGUUUGAGGUGGUAAGAAGGAGUGCUGCACAGCUGCCGAGAAAUGGGUACAGA